CUGAUAUUUAACUUGUUGAGUUUAAAAAGCUCUUAGUGGGACCUUGGGCCGGGUACGCCGGUCCCCUUUUCGGCGAACAUGGAUCUACUCGACCCUUUUACGCUAAAUCCCCUCCUGGCCUUAUUUGUGGAAUGGUUGCCGAUCAAAAUCUAUAUGGCCUUUGGAUUGAACUGUCUCCGAUCACGCUGUUGGUGAAUACAUGGCCCACCGAACCUAUCACCGGAUUCCGGUCUGAGAGUGUUGGCCCGGAGGAGGGUACUAAUGAUUGGACCCAAGCCCUAUGGGCAUUCGUAUUUCAUAAAACCUCUGUGAUAUUCUUGGAUUUGACAGGGUUACUCUGAGUGACUUUCAUUUGCAAAGUCUUUUGACAUCUCUCAAAAUGGUGUAUAAGAGGGUGUGGGAAAAUCUGAUGUCAUCCUACUCUCAAAUACCAACAAUGCCAAUGGUCGGGACGAUUAUUGGGCCUAAAGCAUCCGUAGCCGGCCUUACAAGUCCUCCGUUAAAUCCAGCUGCUUACAGAUGGGCUGCGGAGGAUACUAUAAGACUAGGAGGCAGGAGAGGCAGCGGUACUCAGUGGGUAGGGGUAAAAUCCGUUGAUCCAUUGAAGACCACCAGUGGCGAAGGCGGCUUGCCAGAAUGCGCUCGACGGUGAGGGAUGAAAGCUGGGGGAGCAAACCGGAUUAGAUACCCGGGUAGUCCCAGCUGUAAACGAUGCAGACUCGGUGAUGGACUAGCUAUAUGCUGGUCCAGUGCCGCAGGGAAGCCGUUAAGUCUGCCGCCUGGGUAGUACGGUCGCAAGACUGAAACUUAAAGGAAUUGGCGGGGGAGCACCACAAGGGGUGAAGCCUGCGGUUCAAUUGGAGUCAACGCCGGAAAUCUUACCGGGGGCGACAGCAGAGUGAAGGUCAAGCUGAAGACUUUACCAGACAAGCUGAGAGGAGGUGCAUGGCCGUCGCCAGCUCGUGCCGUGAGGUGUCCUGUUAAGUCAGGUAACGAGCAAGAUCCCUGCCUCUAGUUGCUACUGCUGGUCUCCGGACUAGCAGGGCUAAUUAGAGGGACCGCCGCCGCUGAGGCGGAGGAAGGAGGGGGCUACGGCAGGUCAGUAUGCCCCGAAACCCUCGGGCCACACGCGGGCUGCAAUGGUAAGGACAACGGGCUCCGAUUCCGAAAGGAGGAGGCAAUCCCACAAACCUUACCUCAGUUAUGAUUGAGGGCUGAAACUCGCCCUCAUGAAUCUGGAAUCCCUAGUAACCGCGUGUCACUAUCGCGCGGUGAAUACGUCCCUGCUCC
rnacentral:rRNA from 1 species